GCGGCUCGGGCUCAUUAACGACCUCUCUUCCUUGUUGCGGUGAUGCAGGUCGGACAUGAGGUGCUGGAGAGACGAGAACUGACGAGGAUUUCAGAACCUGGGUUUGUCCAAGGUGAUGGAUCCUUCAUGAGCUCUGGCUGCUGGGUUUCCUCAGGUGGAAAUGUUGUGAUUUUAAAGUAUUAAAUGUAAUUUAUUUUAAUUAAAUCUUUGUUUACUGACAAAUACAACUCGAUCUAUAUUUCAGUGAUAACAAUUUGUAGUAGGUACAUUUGUGUGUUCAA